GGGCAACCUGCCCCUCAGACUGGGAUAACAUCGAGAAAUCGGUGCUAAUACCGGAUAAUUUUCGGGAUCGCAUGAUCCCGUCAUAAAAGAUGGCUUCGGCUAUCACUGGGGGAUGGGCCCGCGGCGCAUUAGCUAGUUGGUGAGGUAGAGGCUCACCAAGGCGACGAUGCGUAGCCGACCUGAGAGGGUGACCGGCCACACUGGGACUGAGACACGGCCCAGAUCCUACGGGAGGCAGCAGUAGGGAAUCUUCCGCGAUGGACGAAAGUCUGACGGAGCAACGCCGUGUGAGUGAUGAAGGGUUUCGGCUCGUAAAGCUCUGUUGUUAGGGAAGAACAAGUAUCGUUCGAAUAGGGCGGUAUCUUGACGGUACCUGACCAGCAAGCCACGGCUAACUACGUGCCAGCAGCCGCGGUAAUACGUAGGUGGCAAGCGUUGUCCGGAAUUAUUGGGCGUAAAGCGCGCGCAGGCGGUUUCUUAAGUCUGAUGUGAAAGCCCCCGGCUC
rnacentral:rRNA from 1 species